rnacentral:rRNA from 1 species
GAUGAACGCUGGCGGCGUGCCUAAUACAUGCAAGUCGAGCGAACAGACGAGGAGCUUGCUCCUUCGACGUUAGCGGCGGACGGGUGAGUACCACGUAGGUAACCUACCUAUAAGACUGGGAUAACUUCGGGAAACCGGAGCUAAUACCGGAUAAUAUUUCGAACCGCAUGGUUCGAUAGUGAAAGAUGGCUUUGCUAUCACUUAUAGAUGGACCUGCGCCGUAUUAGCUAGUUGGUAAGGUAACGGCUUACCAAGGCAACGAUACGUAGCCGACCUGAGAGGGUGAUCGGCCACACUGGAACUGAGACACGGUCCAGACUCCUACGGGAGGCAGCAGUAGGGAAUCUUCCGCAAUGGGCGAAAGCCUGACGGAGCAACGCCGCGUGAGUGAUGAAGGUCUUCGGAUCGUAAAACUCUGUUAUUAGGGAAGAACAAACGUGUAAGUAACUGUGCACGUCUUGACGGUACCUAAUCAGAAAGCCACGGCUAACUACGUG